UACGUAGGCGGUUUAUUAAGUCAGAUGUGAAAGCCCCGGGCUUAACCUGGGAACUGCAUUUGAUACUGGUAAACUAGAGUAUGGUAGAGGGGGGUAGAAUUCCUAGUGUAGCGGUGAAAUGCGUAGAUAUUAGGGGGAAUACCAGUGGCGAAGGCGGCCCCCUGGACCAAUACUGGCGCUGAGGUACGAAAGCGUGGGUAGCGAACA
rnacentral:rRNA from 1 species